AGCCUUUCCCACCCUCUGGGCCCUCCCACUUUUCCAUUCUGUCCCUGUGCCCAAAUUUGGAGCCAGCCCGCCAGGAUCUCCCAGCCAAUCAAGAGACCACACAUUGUUGCCUAAGAGACCCCGGAUGCCAGGGAAAAGAUUUAUAGGUAGUGAUUGGCCUACUGGAAGGGGUGGGGGCUAGACGGAGUCACAGAAACAGGAGCUAUGGCAACACCAGCGCUAGAGGCUUGAGGAGAAAGACUUGAAGAGAAAGACUUAAAGAGUUUGACAAAUGGAUGGACACUCAGAGGAGAAGAAUCCUGACAGUCCUGUUAGAACGCUGCUCCCUGUCACAGCAAAAGUUCUGCUGUUGAAAGCUUCAGGAGAAAAUUCCAGCAGAAGCUCUGGAUUUUACGACCAAGCUCCCAAAGCCCAUAAAAUAAUCCUGGACAUAACACACUGGCCACCUGAUGUGAAGAGCUGACUCACUUGAAAAGACCCUGAUGUUGGGAAAGAUUGAAGGCAGGAGGAGAAGGGGACAACAGAGGAUGAGAUGGUUGGAUGGCAUCACCAACUCAAUGGACGUGAGUUUGGGUAACUUUCAAACUCCGUACACAAUGGAUGGAAGGAGGGAGGAAGAGAGACAGAUAGAUAAACAGAUGGAUGGGUAGUGAGUUCCAUUACAGAGUGUUCUGCUCCUUUUGGGGGCACUCAAACAUUAUUUAUUAUUGAGUUAACCUUGAAAAAGAGGCCAGUUUUCCAAAGAUGAAAUGAAUGUGAAGACUAGUUACCAUCUCUGCAAUUCAUGUUAAGAGAUAUGGAAUGCCUAGUCUGAACUUUAUAUAUGGACUUGACUUUAGUUUCUACUAAGACUUAUUUAAAACCUGGAAUAAAUUAUUUUAAAAACUACUACA
rnacentral:lncRNA from 1 species